AUGACGGAUAGAGCCAGAAGCGACAGUUGCACUUCGGUUGAUAGCAUGAGAGGUAGCAAGAGAUUAGCUAGAUCACCGGCGGGAGAGGAUGGAGAAGAAUGGGAUAGGAAAUUAAGAGAUUGGAAAGAGGAGAUUGUUGGUAGCUUAAAGAUAGUUAAAUUAGAGAUGAAGGAAGAAUUGAAGGAGAUUAUGGAGGAGCAGGGAAGAAAGAUGAGAGAGGAGAUAAAUGCGUUGAAAAAAGAAAUUAAUGAUUUCAAGGAGAGAGAAUAUAGAUGGGAAAGAGAAAGAAAAGAGUUAGUGGUGGCGCAGGAAGAGUUAAAGAGAAAGAUAGAGAAAAUAGAAGUAGGAGGGGAUAACGCAGUGGGAAAAAAGGUGAGAGAGAUAGAGAGGAGGUUAGAGUUGAAGGAAAGGGAGGACAGAAGGAAGAAUCUAUUAAUUAGAGGUGUAGAGGUCAAGGAAGGGAAUAGGAAAGAGGCGGUGGAGAAGGUGUUCAGGGAGAUAGGAGCAGAGGUGACCGUGAAGGGAGUUAGGAGAAUAGGGGAGGGGAGCAAAAAAGGUAGAGAGAUGAUAUGGGUGAAGUUAGAGAGUGAAGAACAGAGGAAAGAGGUGUGGAGUAAGAAGAAGACGCUGAAAGGUAGGGAAGAAAGAAUUUUGGAAGAUUGGACUUGGAAGGAGAGGAAGAUGAGAUGGAGGUUAGAAAAAAUAGCAAAAGUAGAAGAGGAAAGGGGAAAUAGGGUAUGGAAGAUUGUGAAGGGUAAGUCAAGAGAGAAGGAGUCGAGAGAUGAGAGAGUCUUGAAAAUAGCCUUCUGGAAUGUAGCAGGGCUGGGGAAUAAAGAUAAAGAUUUUUGGGAUAAUUUAAGGGAAUGGGAUGUAAUGUUUUUAUCAGAGACAUGGGCGGACACAAGGGGUUGGGAAAAGAUAAGAAACAGGGUACCAAAGGGUUAUGAGUGGGGAGUACAGAAGGCUAGUAGGAGAAAUAGAAAAGGAAGAGCGAUGGGGGGAAUGGUGGUAGGAAUAAGAAAAGAGCUAAGUGAUAGAGGAAGUAAAAUAGUUGAAUUAGGAGAAGGGUUAUUGUCGGUGGGAAUUAAGAUUGGAAAGGAAAGUUGGAGGAUUGUAGGGGUGUAUAUAAAGGAAGAAGGUAGGGAAGGAGCUAUGCAGUUACUGAGACGGAUGAUGGAAUCAAAGGAUGGAGAAGCGAGGGUGAUUAUUGGGGGCGAUUUCAACGCGAGAACCGGUAGAGAGGGGGGAGGUUGGGGGGAGGAUUCGGAUGGUGAAGAAGGGGAAGAGCAGGCUAGGAGAAUGUCCAAAGAUAGUAAGGUAGAUAAGGAAGGAAGGAAGCUAUUAGAACUGAUAGGUGAAUGUGGAUGGGAAUUGUUAAAUGGAAGGAUGGUAGGAGAUGAGGAAGGAGAGUAUACGUAUGUAGGAGCUAGAGGAAGCACUGUGAUAGACUAUAUUUUAGUAGAUAGAGAGACAAAAGAUAGAAUAGAAAAGAUGAGUGUAAUAGAUAAGGUAGAGUCGGAUCAUUUUCCAGUAGUGGCAGAGUUGAGGAGUGAGCUGAGAGAGGUAAUUCCGAGGAGGAGGGGCAGGGAGAUAAGGGGAGUCUGGGAUGAAGAGGGAAGAGAAUUGUUUAGGAGAGUUUUGGAGGGGGAGAUAGAGGAAGAGGAGGAACAGGAGGUAAAUGAGGAGUGGGAUAGGAUGAGGAGUAGAAUUAAGGAGGCAAUGGGGAAGACGGAGAGAGAGAGAGGGAAAAGCAAGAAGGUAGAAAGAGGCUGGUGGGAUAAAGAAUGUGAAGGAAUGAAGAGUCAGGUGAGGAGGGAAUUAAGGAGGUGGAGAAAAGGACUAGAGGAUAGGAAUAAAUAUAUAGGGCUGAAAAGAGAAUACAAGGUUCUUUGUGAGAGGAAGAAAGAGGAGGAGAACAGGAAGUGGGAGAAAAAAGCAGAAGAGGCCAGGAAUGAGAGUGAAGUAUGGGAGAUAGUAAAUAAGGAUAGGAGAAAGAAAAGGAGGGUCAACGAAGGAAUAAGAAUGGAGGAGUGGAAAGAGUACUUUAUGUGUUUGUUAGGUGGAGUAGAGACUAGAGUGGUUAGAGGAGAGGAGAGAAAAGAUAGAGAGGAUGGUAGGAGAGAGGAGGAACAGGGCAUAAGCAAGGAGGAGGUAAGAAAGGUGGUGAGUAAAUUAAAAGUAGGAAAGGCGGGAGGAUUAGAUGGUAUUCCGAAUGAAGUAUGGAGGUGGGGAGGAAGAAGGUUAGAGGAGUGGAUAGGGGGUUUUUUGAAUAGGGUAUGGAGGGGAGAGGAAUGGCCGGAGAAUUGGAAAGAAGGUGUAGUAGUACCGAUUGUUAAAAAGGGAGAGGGAAAGCAGGUGAAGGAGUAUAGGGGAAUAACGUUAAUGCCCACGCUUUAUAAGGUAUACGCGAAAAUUUUAGCAGAGAGGUUAAAUGAGGAGAUUGAAGAGAAGGGAAUAAUCCCAGAAAAUCAGGCAGGCUUUAGGAAUAAAAGAGGGACAAUAGAUAAUAUUUUUGUUUUGAACUACGUAGUAAAUAGAAGUGUGGACAAAAAAGGAGGAAAACUAGUAGCAUUAUUCGUAGAUUUGAAGGCAGCGUUUGAUUCGGUGGAUAGAGGGAUCUUGAUAAAGACGAUGAGGGAGAGGGGGAUUAGAGAAGGUUUAAUAGAGAGAGUAGAAGGCUUAUUGAGAGAAACGAAGAGUAGAGUUAGGGUAGGGGAGGAGACGGGGGAAGAGUUUUGGACGGGGAGGGGGGUAAGACAGGGUUGUCCACUGAGUCCGUUGUUGUUUAAUCUAUUGAUUUCAGACUUAGAAGAGGUAAUGGGGAGGGUCAAGUGGGGAGGGGUGAAGGUGGGAGAUGUGAAGGUGUGUACGUUAGCAUAUGCAGAUGACUUGGUGUUAAUAGCGGAAGACGAGGAUCAGAUGAGAAGUAUGUUGGAAAGGCUAGAAAGAUACUUGGAUGAAAAGAACUUAGUUUUAAAUGCAGAGAAGUCGAAAAUAGUGAGGUUUAGAAAGGGAGGAGGUAGGGAGAGUAGAAGAAAUUGGUGGUGGAAAGGAAAUAGGAUAGAGGAGGUGAAAGAAUUUUGCUAUCUAGGGUAUGUGUUUCAAAAAAAUGGGGGGCAAGAAGCGCAGAUAAAAGAUAGGGUGAGAAGGGCGGCGGCAGUGAUGGGUCAGGUUUGGGGGAUUGGGAAGAGAAGGUACGGGGGAGAUUGGGGAAGGAGGGUGUGGCUAUUUGACAGGUUGGUAUGGACGGUUAUGGGAUACGGAGUGGAAAUUUGGGGUUGGAAGGAGAGAGACGGUUUAGAGAAGCUAGAGGAGAGGUAUCUGAGAUGGAUGUUAGGCUUGGAUGGGCACACGCCGGGUUAUAUGGUAAGAGAGGAGAUACAAAGGGAUAAAUUGAGAGGGAAAGCGGGAAGGAGGGCGUGGAAAUAUGAAAGGAGGUUAGAAGAGGGCGGAGGUAGCGAGUUGGCAAGGAUGUGUUUAGAAGAGAUAAAGGAGAGGUGUAGGACAAAAAAAGUAGGGAGUGGCUGGGAAGGGGAAAGAAGAAGUUUUUGGGAGGACAGGGGAGGGAGUUUGGAAGAGUUAGGCGAGGAAAGAGAGGAGGAUAGAGUAGAAGCGAUAUUUGGUAAGGAGAGAAAAAUGCAGAGAGAGGAAAGAUAGGAGAGAAUUGUAGGUUCGGAUUAUAAUAGGUGGUAUAAAAUGAUAAAGGAGGAGGGCGUACCAGGAUACUUGAAAAAAGGGUGGGGAGAGAGUAGGUGGAGGAGAAUUAUAAGGUGUAGAUUGGGUAACGAGAUGAGAGGCAAUAAAUAUUGGGAGGAGGAGGAGAAGAAAAGAUGCAGAUUAUGUGGAGGUGGCGUAGAGACAUGGGAGCAUGUAUGGGAGGAGUGUAGAGAUUGGGGUUUAGGCAGAGACAGUUGGCAGGAGGUGGUAGGAAGAAUUUUAGGGGCAGAUGGAGAGGGAGAGAGUUGGUUUAGGGAUUUGAUGAGAGAGAGGGAAGGGAUAGAGAGAGGCGAAGAUAGUAUGAAGAGUGGAAAAAUCGAUAAUUAAUUGAAGGAAGGCAGAGGAAACGGAAGUCCACAGAUAGGCGGUGUGUGUGUGUGCGUAGGAUAGGUUGUGGAGGCAGCAGCGGCUGCCAAAGCAACCAGGAAUUAGAUUUAAGAUAGAAAUAAGUUAGUCUAAGAUAGAAUAAGUAUGUUGAGAUUGUAAACCCCAAGGGGAUUCAAUAAAAUUCAUAUCUAAUAAUAAUUUUUCAAACAAUUAUCUUUUCGUAUUCAGUAUCAUCUUGUAUCUAGUAGUAAUACAGCUGAUAACAACCAAUGUCGCCUAAGUGAAUUGUAUCAGAAAAGAGUCAGGCGUCAAAGCUAGCUAUUUAUUUUAUUUCAUUUCGAAGAAGGUUUUUCGAAGGCUUUUCAGUGAGAUUUUUCUCGAAAGAUUUGACCAACCAGUCGACAUAAUCGAACAAGAAACUUUCACGAAACUUGAUUCAACUUAAAGAUUUUGUUGACAAAUCCUUUAACGAAGUGACUUUUCCUCUUGGAAAUCACGCUAACCCAAUUUCGUCCCUAAAAAAAAUUUCUGGUGAGGCGGAAUGGCUUUGUAGAUUGUAAGGAAAUUAAUAGCAUUCCUAGAAAUCAGUGCAUUCAGGAUUUUAGCACGCUUUUGAAACUCCGACCUCUGACCUUCGCAAGAAGAAUAGUCCGAUAGCCGACUCGCUCUAUUUCACGUGUCCAGGCACGUAGACGCGAUUCAUGUCCUGAUCAUUAUUCGAAUGCGACACACGUGCCUUAAGCUUAAUUCUUACUCAAAGAUAUACCGAUGUUUCUAUCAAAAUGAUGAGUACUACGUGAUGACGAAUUAAAUUCUUUCCAAUUUUUUUUCUAUUUGUAUUUUUUGUAUUUUUUCUAAAGCGAAAAAAUACAAUGGAAAAAAUUAUGACUUGUAUCGCAAAUUAUUAAUUGCAAAUUGUAAAUUUAAUUUGUUCAAAGAUCACAAAAUUAUCUGAAUUUCUACGAUUUUUAAACUCGUCAAAGAGCAUUUUAUGAUGUUGAAAUGUAUUCUCCUGCAUACGCAAUGGAUAAUCACGAUUACCGACAAGAAUUGUGCUAUUCAUGAGAUAAUUCAUCGCGCGAUCGCGAUAUACUCGUACAUGACAUAUACAUGAAGAUGAGAAAUUUCCGUAAACGCAGAUUUCGUGUUACGAUGUUGAUAGACUCUCCGCCGCCAAAUACUGUUGAUCACUUAACUUGAUGAAUAUCCGCACGUUUCUGCAAAUACAGUUUCAAUAAAUAUACGUCGUAGUCUCUAUUUGCGACUACAAAUUCACAGGAAAUUCUCACCUACAGCUGAAAACAGGAAAUUGAUUCAAUUUGAGAUACAAGCAUUUUCAGAAGCGAUUCUGUCGCCACGUGUACAAAUUACUCGAAAAGAAUCUGGCGUACACAUAUCUCUCACAAUCAGAGUAACGUGAGACAAAAAGUAAGUAUAUCUGAAUAAUAAGCAAAAAUUAUAUAUAUUAUAUGUAUGUGUGGGGGUCAAUUUAAUUUGCAAAUAUGAUUUUUAAUAAAUAAAUUUUAUUUUAAAACGUAUAUAUAUAUUAUAUGAUUUAGGCGACCGAUAUGCAUUCAGCAACUCUCCCCUAUAUGUUUUAAUAUAUACAUAAGAGAUGAAAAUCUAUUUAUAUAUAAUACGUGUAAGAAUAUACAUUCUUAUGCCUUAUAACUGACACUAAGACAAAUUUAUCCUACAUCAUAAAAAAAUUUUCUUUAAUAUUUUUCAUAUUUUUAAACUCUUGGGGAAUUAUUCGUAAGUAUUUUGUUUUUACGCUUGGAUCGUUCUAUUGUACGCGAACAAAGUCACUCUUGUGUAAAUCGUAUUUUAGCUGAGCAAAAUUUAUCACUGUUUCGGCGCAUCAUAUUUUAUGGAUGUAUUACCACACUGACACGGCAUUCGCGACUAGGAAAAUACUCGGCGUUCCAACAUGUCACCGUGUCGGGAUUGUGCCAUUACGUCGAUACGCGUGACAACUUUACGCAAACUCCGGAAUUGUGCAGUUCCGUCACGAGAAGUACCGCGCAUACUUGCUUCUUGUCUCACGUUGUUUCCCUAGCGAUACGUGGACAUGCGAUGGCAGAUUAUUUCCGGACAAUUUAUAUACGCGACGGAUUUGUUUUCGAAAAGAUUUCGUGCUCGCGUCGAAAUCUCAAGUCAAACUAGUUUCCUAUUUUCGGCGAAAAUUUCUUCCGAAUUGUAGUCGCAAACAGUGCCACGUCGUAUAUUAUUUAUUUGUAGAAACCUGCUUAUGUGUGUAGAAACGUGCAGAUUCAUCAAAUAUUAAAAAAGUCGCACGAAAUCCGAAAUCACGUACGAUACGCUAUAUCCAUUAUGCUAUAUAUGUAUAUGUAGGAUAAAAAAUUUAUUUAUUAUAAAUUAUACAUUUAUACAAGAAAUUAAUUGACUUUAUUCCUUUAAAAUAAAUGUCUGCUACAUUGAUGCAGCACGAUUUUAAUGUUCAGAAACACUGGAAGUCGUUUUCCGUCAGAAACAAAAAGAAGUUGUAAGACGCAGAAAGAGUAAGAAGGAUGGGGACAGAAUUCAUAAAAUGAAGUACGUAAUAUAAAAGUUUCGUCAGAAUUUUAACGCUAUUUUUUUGUAAAGUUUAACAUAUUGACUAUCAUAUCGCAAUGGGAAAACUGGGUUGCAAUGUUUUGUUGGGAAAUUCCGCGUCAAGGAGAGUAUUAAUUCUAGUACUAUCUCUCUUGUCUCACGAGGCGUUUAUUGCUUGCAUCAUGGCUGCGUCGCUGUAAAACGCAGUGAAGUCGUUACAUUUAUAUUAUACUAGAUUAAAGCGACCAGCUGUGUGCAUUUGCGCCGGUGGUUUUUAAUACGUAAAACGAUGAGAGCACUACUCGUUAUACUAAAGACUUUUAACUUCAAUGUUGCAGAAGGAAUAUAACGUAAUUUUACUGUACUCUCGAUCGAGUCCGAGUAACUUUCACUGCAAAUAGCGUUUAUGAAACAUUGCAAAGCAACGCAACGUACGUUUGUAUUUGGCUUAGAGAAAAAUCGAAAAAUUUUUUAGAAAAUAAGGAGACAACAAUGGUUGAAAUUAAUUUUUGCAAUAAAUUCUUAAUUAUUUCUUUCUGCAAAUUUUUAUAUCAGUGCAGAAGAAAGGGUUAUUUUUUUUGGCAGAGAAAGAUUUUCAAUUGAAAAA
rnacentral:lncRNA from 1 species